rnacentral:rRNA from 1 species
UGGGGAAUAUUGCACAAUGGGGGAAACCCUGAUGCAGCGACGCCGCGUGAACGAAGAAGGUAUUCGUAUCGUAAAGUUCUGUCCUAUGGGAAGAUAAUGACAGUACCAUAGAAGAAAGCUCCGGCUAAAUACGUGCCAGCAGCCGCGGUAAUACGUAUGGAGCGAGCGUUGUCCGGAAUUAUUGGGCGUAAAGGGUACGCAGGCGGUUUAAUAAGUCGAAUGUUAAAGAUCGGGGCUCAACCCCGUAAAGCAUUGGAAACUGAUAAGCUUGAGUAGUGGAGAGGAAAGUGGAAUUCCUAGUGUAAUGGUGAAAUACGUAGAUAUUAGGAGGAAUACCAGUAGCGAAAGCGACUUUCUGGACACAAACUGACUCUGAGGUACGAAAGCGUGGGGAGCAAACAGG